GCAUAUUCACUAAGUGUGAACAUCUUUGGUGGGAGGUAAGACUCUGCUCAUCCUGAUGGGAGGAGUUAAAGGAAAUAGAAAAUUCAGUAUCAAGCUCUUCGUGCCAUUACUUGAUACAAUUUCCAAAGCUACAAACUUCCUUGGAGGUUGUGGCACCCUUCCCCCCGCCGCCAAUGACUCAUAUGGCACUUGCUCUGAGCUAUCUUGCAGGACACCAGAAGUCCCACUCUUGAUGAGCCUGGCUGAUGGGUCCCGGAUCUUCACUGGAACUUCCCAGGCACCACCACAACCAUUUCGGGCUAGAAGGGGAACGUCCCAUCACUUAGCCGUACUUGAUACAACUGUCCCCACUGUUGUCACUGGCAACUGGAUCAGCCUCUUCCUGCUGAUGGAGCGUCAUUAUCUGGCCCUGCUGCCAUGGAGACCCAAAGGAAUCAGGUGUGUUUUUCGCCUGCAUCACUCCCGCCUGGGGUGCGACAAGGACUCUUCUGCACGUCAUGCGUGGUGGACCUGUGGCGGGCUGCGGCCAGGCUCUUCCUGCGGGUGA
rnacentral:lncRNA from 1 species